ACUGGCUCCGGGUUUUUAUUAUUAAGAACAGUUGGGAUUCGUGCUACAGAGAAGAGCAAAUGGACACCAGCCAGCUGAUGGGAGACUCAGGGAUCCAGAAAUGCAUAGGCGGAAACUCCCACGUACCUGGGAUGUGGCCUGGGCUGGGCAUGCGCACUACAGUUUACCUCAGCAUCUCAGGGGGCAGCCCAAGCAGGUCAAAGGUCCAGGUACCUCAGCUUCCUGUGGCAACAGAGCAUGGGUGUCCAUGUGUGGCAAGAGAGAGGAGGAGGUGAACCAACACCGGUCCAGCUCCGGAACCAGCAAGUUGCAGUCAGCAUCUGCCAGGCUCAGGUGGGUCAGCAUCUUAACUGUGCCUCAGAGAGAAGGCGAUUUCUUCACAGGAGGCCUUAGUGAGGUUACAAUUCUCCAGCAUCUGUUCCCUGAGGUAACUCAGCAGCAGGUACUUCACCCCCAAAAAUACCUGGGGAGCUUGCUCUCGGUAACAGAGUCUUCAGGUGCGUGUGCCUUUGAAGAGUGCUGG